rnacentral:rRNA from 1 species
CCUACGGGAGGCAGCAGUGGGGACUCUUCCGCAAUGGACGAAAGUCUGACGGAGCAACGCCGCGUGUAUGAUGAAGGUCUUCGGAUUGUAAAGUACUGUCUUUGGGGAAGAACGGUGGGUUUGAGAAUAUUGAGUCCACAUGACGGUACCCAAGGAGGAAGCCCCGGCUAACUACGUGCCAGCAGCCGCGGUAAUACGUAGGGGGCAAGCGUUGUCCGGAAUUAUUGGGCGUAAAGGGCGCGUAGGCGGAUGCUUAAGUCCGGUGUGAAAGAUCAGGGCUCAACCCUGAGAGUGCAUCGGAAACUGGGUAUCUUGAGGACAGGAGAGGAAAGUGGAAUUCCACGUGUAGCGGUGAAAUGCGUAGAUAUGUGGAGGAACACCAGUGGCGAAGGCGACUUUCUGGACUGUAACUGACGCUGAGGCGCGAAAGCGUGGGGAGCAAACAGGAUUAGAUACCCUGGUAGUCCACGCCGUAAACGAUGAGUGCUAGGUGUAGAGGGUAUCGACCCCUUCUGUGCCGCAGUUAACACAAUAAGCACUCC